GCUACUCAGUUCUGUGCAGGCAUGCUUGUUUGCCCCUCAGUGCAGUACCUCCCUGUCUUCUUCAGCCUAGAGUGCCCCUUGAACUUUCAUUGUACAUGACCAUGGCUGUCUGGAAGAAUGCAGGGAGGUAUCUGAUAGCACAGUUUCCAGCUUGGCUUUAAGCGAUGAUGUUUUUUUAUGUUGGAAUCCAGGUUCUAUAUUUUGGCAAGGAUGGGCCAGAGGUGAUGUGCUUAAUUAAGUACAUUGUAGCAGGAGGAACAGUUACCAACCUCUGCCAGGACUGGUGAUUCUACAUCGAGCUCUUGCUGGAGAAGGAGCCUGCAAGCCCUGCUCUCUCUCUUGGUGGGAGAGAGAUAUUUUGGGCCACUUGUUCCAGUUCUCAAGUGCAUGUCACCAUUUAGAAGAUAAGUCUCCAUCAGGUGAGAAUUGCUGAGGCCAUGCCCAGCCUGGGGACUUUUAAUCAGCUGAAUUGGCCAGAGAUACUGUCCAGUGCAGAGACAGCACCACGGCUGAGGAUGGCCGGACCAUUACAAAAGGAACCCACAGAGAAGUAGAGGCACCAGCCAAAAGCAAUGUUAACCACAAUCACUGUGAUUGCUAUUUUUGGUUGUCAACUUGACUACAUCUGGAAUCAACUAAAACCCAAUGGCUUGGCACAACUGUGAGGGACUUUUUUUUCUUAAGUAAAUCCUUUGAGCUCUGGAUCUUUGAGGUGGGAAGAUACACCUUUAAUGGAGGUCACACUUUCUGCUGGCAGCCUACAAAAAGGAGAUGAAGAAGGAAAUUUUGCUGUUGUUGUUAGCAAAUCCAUUCCUUCACUGGCACUGAAGCCGGCUUCUUCAGGAUUCUGGUAUGUAAUGCUGAAGACCAGCUGAGACAUUCAACCUUUGUGAACUGAACUGAAUUCUUCCAUUGGUAGACAGCCAUUGUUUGUCUAGCUGGACAACAUCCUAUAUGCCAGUUUAAUAAAUCUUAAUAUGUGAGUGCACCAGU
rnacentral:lncRNA from 1 species